rnacentral:rRNA from 1 species
UAGUCCACGCCCUAAACGAUGUAUACUCGAUGUUUGGAUUUAUUUCUGGGCAUCCAAGGGAAACCAUUAAGUAUACCACCUGGGGAGUACGUCGGCAACGAUGAAACUCAAAGGAAUUGACGGGGGCCCGCACAAGCGGUGGAGCAUGUGGUUUAAUUCGAUGAUACGCGAGGAACCUUACCAGGGCUUAAAUGUAGAUUGCAUUAGGCAGAGAUGCUUAUUUCUUCGGACUAUCUACAAGGUGCUGCAUGGUUGUCGUCAGCUCGUGCCGUGAGGUGUCAGGUUAAGUCCUAUAACGAGCGCAACCCCUACCGUUAGUUGCUAGCAGGUCAUGCUGAGGACUCUAACGGGACUGCCGGUGCAAACCGUGAGGAAGGUGGGGACGACGUCAAAUCAUCACGGCCCUUACGUCCUGGGCCACACACGUGCUACAAUGGCCGGUACAGAGGGAAGCCACCACGUAAGUGGGCGCGGAUCUAUAAAACCGGUCACAGUUCGGAUCGGGGUCUGC